GGCGCUGUCUACGAGUCGGG
rnacentral:snRNA from 1 species